rnacentral:lncRNA from 1 species
GCGACGAACAAUGCGACCUCGCCGCGAUCGUGGCUGGCGGGCUACACCUUCGCCGACGUGCUCACUGCAGCGGCGUGUGCUCCAGAGGGCAAGCCACGCGGCGUGCUCACGGCGGCGGCGUGUGCCCCAGGGGGCAAGCCACGCGGCGGUAAUAGGGCUGAGGGGGUCAGCUUUGACCAGAUCAAGGGGAAGGUGCCAUUGGAAGCGUUCGGAGAGGUCGCCUCCUCCUCGGCGACGGCGAACUCAUCGGCUCUUCCGGCAACGAGCCACUGCCAUGAGGGCCCUUCUCCGCAGUUCCCACGAGAGAAACUUGAUGCAGGUGCGACCCAGCCUGCUAGCUACAGUGAGACUUGUGCGGGGGGGGGGGAGCAUCCAUGGCGGACACGUGGCGGUUGCUAUGGGGAUAAACUCGAGGACCUCUUUCCCCGAGUCUCCAGAGGCUUCCGUGAGUGGGUGUGGGUGAGAAAGGGUUCGCUCUCUCCGCAGCUAGGGUUUCCGGCGAGAAGCGAAGAAAUCCGGCGAUUCGGCGACUCCGCAAGCCGGAUCUGGAGAGUUCUGGAGAGAAGGUGUGAUCACCGCACUUUCGCGCAAGUGGUGAUGAAGCGACGUCCCCCUCCAGGCCGUCCGGAUUGGCAAGCGAACAAGAGGAAGGCGAUGGAGUCGGGAGGUGGAGGUGGUGAUUGGGGUCGACAAGCUGGAGGCGACUGGGGGAAGCAAGCCGGUGGAAGUUGGGCGCACCGUGAGGAAGAGGAACUUCGCAAGCAGCUUCUAGCAAAAGGAAAUCAAGCUGUGGGAGAUCCACGUCGUCCUGGUCGCCCUGGCCAAGAGCAGGGUUAUCCUCCUUAUGAUAAUUCACAAUUCCCCCCGGAUGAUGAUGAUGAUAAGGACAAGAAGGGUAAUGGUGAUAAUGAUGACAUGAAUGUGGAUGAAGAUCAAAAUACUCAAAGCCCAGCUAGAGGUAGAUCAGCCCAUGAUAGAAGAUCUUUCAUGGGAGGUUCCAGAGGUGAUGUUCAAUCAGCCCCUCCUGCUUACAAAGGGAAAAAGGCAUUGGAAGAGACAUGCCUGAGUGAGACUCAGCAGUGUCCUACUAAGAGGGCUGCCUGUAAAAAACAAAGUCUGCUGGUGGUGGAAAAGGAGAGUAUGGUAGAUCAAGAGGGUGACUCUAAAGCAAUGGUAGUGUGGGAGCGAAACACAACACAAGAUGUAGAAUAUGAAUCUCAGGAGAUUGAUUUCCCUGUCACACAAAAAUCGACUGAGGAAGGUGAUAAUGAGGAUGUGUUGACUGGAAUCUUAGAGUUUGAAAAAUGUGACAUUCCAUCUUUAUUUGACAUUGCAAGACAGAGAGAGGAGGAAGAGUUGGAUGAGGAAGAUAGCUUUCAGGAGGUUUCCUACAAAAAGAAGAACAGACCUAAAAAAUCUGAACCUACAAUCACUUCUAGAAUGAGUUUGAGAAACAGAGACAUGGCCUCAGUCCCCAUUCCUAAGACAGCUGAGCUGCUUACUCAAAAGAAGAACCUGGAGACUGGAGGUAACUCUAACCCCUUUGUUGUUUUUCAAAUUAUUGAUCCUGUUGAGCUGAAUAGUAUUGCUAUAGCUGCUAAUAUCUCUCUAGGAAGUAAUGAGGAAGAAAUUGCAAAUACCAUUGAGACCAUUAAGGCUAAAGAGUUGGUUCAAGCUAAAUUAGCUGAGAUGAGAUGGAAAAAAGAGAAGGAAAAGGAGAUGAUAGAUGUUGACUCUUUAUUGAGAAAUGAGAAAGAGCUCCCAGAGAACAUGGGGGAAGAGUGGAAGGCUUUAUGUCGCUCUGAGGAAGUUGCUCUGAUGGAUCACAUUGCUGUGAAGCUGAAAGGGAUGAUUUCAAGCCUGGGGGCGCAAAGAACUGGAAACAGCAACAUCAGGAGUGAAAGGCUCUUUAGCAAUGGCGAUCUAGCGAGCAAUAUCUCCAAUCCUUUUGCUCCAUCUAGGAAGCCAACAUCUGAUAAUCUUAGACUGGUUAGAUUUGGGAACCCCGCGAAGCAGGUUGGCAACCCUGGGAUGUAG